rnacentral:lncRNA from 1 species
GGAAAUUUGGACAAAGAGACGUGCAUUCAGAGAACGCUUUGUGAAGACUGGAGUUAUGCUGCCACAAGCCAAGGAACUACCAAAGCUAGGAGAGAGGCCUGGAACAGAUCCUUCCCUAGUCCCUUCAGAGAGAGCCUAGCCCUGCAGACACCUCGAUGUCUGGCUUCUAGCCUCCAGAUCUGUAAGACAGUAGAUUUCCAUUGUUUAAGCCACUGGGUUUAUGAUACUGUGUUACAGUAGCCCUAGCAAACCAGAGCUAUCCCAAUUCUUUAUUCCUCUGAGCCAGGCAAUGUGGUUCCAAGUCCCUACCUUGAAUUUUGUUUUGGUAGGGCCUUCACGUCCUUAGAGACACUCAAGAGCCUUGGAACCUUUCCUGGUCGGCAUUGCACAGGGGCUCUGGUCUUCAAUCCACCUCGACAUUGUGUUCCCAGCCCCGCUCCUCUAGUCUGUAAAGUCAGACAGCAGUUACUUUAAUACUGAGACAGCCUGAGAAGGGUCUUGCCAACCAGGGACCCCUGGUGUACCAGGCCAUGUACAUCCUGCACACCAAGAUGCCAUAAGGGUGUCACAGGACUUGUCCCUCUGAGGUUCCAUCCACCCCAGAGAGGAUGCUGAGCACAGGCCCUCAACUUUUGGUAGCCCCAGACCCCCAUUCUUUCAGUUGGAGACCCGCACCCCACCCAGAGUCUGAGGCUUCGUUCUCUACCCUUACAGACCUUCCUCUCUCCUCCACCCCUCUGAGAUGAUGGAGUAAAAUCUCCCCUUGAAGAGCCUUUAGACACCCAUGUUUAUCUCUUUCUUUCCAGGCUGGGGGGAGUAAGAUGAUGCUGACACCCACCAACUCAUCCUAUUAGACAUAAACGCAUGCUUUCAUUAGGCCCGCUCUCGUCUUUGACAUCCUGCCUGCGGCGCACCUGUAAUUGUCAGUCCCCUACAGUGUGUUCCCGAUGGGGUCUUCAUUUCUGUGACAAAAGAGCACUCCUUGCAUGCACAAAGGAUGGCCACUCUGGUUUCAGGUGAGAGGAUCCCUUCUCUCCACUGCUUUCCAGGAGCCAGAGGUCUGCGUCCUUCAUGCCAGCAAGCCCAAGGCCAAACAGAGGCCAGGCAAUCAAUAAGCACUUGCUGGAGGGAAAAGGCCAGACUGAAUGGAGGAAUCCAUCUCUGGGAGUUGUCCAGGGUCAAGGGCCUCCUACUGACACCUGUGCUGAGCACCAGUGGGAAAGCAGUCACCUUUGCUCAGAGGGCGGAAGGGUCAGAGGGGCAGGUGCACCUGGUUCAUCUGCUCCUAGUGAGGUGCAGAACUAAAGGGACAGACACCUCCAGGAGUGGUGAUGACCUCACACUUGACCUCUGUCUUCUGCGUCACCAAAAAAAGAGCACUUUUGCAUAAACACUGCAGAAGACUCCACUGCACUGUUCUAGAAAACAAGGUGUUCACAGAGAUGGUAAGCACAAAGAAAUGGAAGGAACUCCUCUUCCAACUCCCUGCCUCGCACUUCUCUACCAAUCACCUUGAAUGACUGGAGAUUAUUCUGCCCCAUCUGCACCAUGGCCUGAUUUGACCCGGCUUCUGGGGAAGUGCCUGCAAACAGGCCUGGUGUGAAGGGCAGCCUCUGGCCAGGGAAAGGCCUUCCUCAGGACCAGUACCAGCUCCUGUUUGCAGAUGGUCCAAAAUCACUGACUGAGAAGGGGCUGUGUACCUUGCCAAGAAAGUGGACUAAUAUUUUUGGGAAGUUUUAAUUUGCUUCAAUUAAAAAUUGAGGGCAGUUCUGAGCAAAACAGAAGUAGGUGAAUUUAUUUUCUGGGCCUCUGCACAGAUCUUUCUGGGCCCUCAGCCUCUGCAGCUGUUUCCAAGAGGCCUCUACCCCAGCCAGCAUUUCCCAACUAGCCGGUUCCAUGACUCCUACCAUUCCCCCCCUACUCUCCCGCCAAAGCAGGCCAGACCUGCCAGGGAGAAACUAAUCUUAGAAAUCAUCUUUUUUCUUUCUUUGAGACGGAGUCUUGCUCUGUCGCCCAGGCUGGAGUGCAGUGGCACCAUCUUGGCUCACUGCAAGCUCCGCCUCCCGGGUUCACAUCAUUCUCCUGCCUUAGCCUCCAGAGUAGCUGGGACUACAGGCGCCCACCUCCACCACUAAUUUUUUGUAUUUUUAGUAAAGACAGGGUUUCACUAUGUUAGCCAGGAAGGUCUCCAUCUCCUGACCUCGUGAUCCGCCCGCCUCAGCCUCCCAAAGUGUUGGGAUUACAGGCGUGAGCCAGUGCACCCGGCCAAUCUUUUUUCUAAAUGGAAGUGAAUGGCUUAAUUACCCUUUUCUGGGGAAAAUUGUGUACAUGCACUGAGAUUUUAAGCAGAUACACAAAAAUUGGGUAAGAAUGCUUGAAUCUAGAGUUAGGGGGUCAGGCAUAUGAGAGCAACUCACUCUACAUUCUUAAGUACAGUAUACAUUUUUUUCCUGUAUACAUUCUUUUAAAUACAUUUUAAAUAAUUUUAAAUAAAUGUAAAAGUACA